rnacentral:rRNA from 1 species
AUUGAACGCUGGCGGCAUGCUUUACACAUGCAAGUCGAACGGUAACAGGCCGCAAGGUGCUGACGAGUGGCGAACGGGUGAGUAAUGCAUCGGAACGUGCCCAGUCGUGGGGGAUAACGCAGCGAAAGCUGCGCUAAUACCGCAUACGAUCUAUGGAUGAAAGCGGGGGACCGUAAGGCCUCGCGCGAUUGGAGCGGCCGAUGUCAGAUUAGGUAGUUGGUGGGGUAAAGGCUCACCAAGCCAACGAUCUGUAGUUGGUCUGAGGGGACGACCAGCCACACUGGGACUGAGACACGGCCCAGACGCCGACGGGAGGCAGCAGUGGGGAAUUUUGGACAAUGGGCGCAAGCCUGAUCCAGCAAUGCCGCGUGCAGGAAGAAGGCCUUCGGGUUGUAAACUGCUUUUGUACGGAACGAAACGGCUCUGGUUAAUACCUGGGGCUCAUGACGGUACCAUAAGAAUAAGCACCGGCUAACUACGUGCCAACAGCCGCCGCGGUAA